GCAGGAGACCGACAGAGAGACGGGAGGACCGGGACCGGAGCUGGAGCUGCAUCCCGGCGGUCAGAGGACACCGGAGAGAGUCCUGCUUCCAGAUGUUUCCAGAUGUUUCCAGCUGCUGCUCCGCCUCAUAACGUGGCUCCGAGUUCUGAUUUGCAUCAGUCUGAAGCUACUUAACUCGACUCUGUAGAGAUUAUUGUCAUCAGUCUCUGAAGACCUGGUCCUCGGCGCUGCUCGGAGCCAAACCACCUGUGGCGUCGACUCAUGUCUCUGACCGAGGCUGAAGACUCUGCCUGCCUCUCUGUCCGUCUCCCCUCAGUUUAAUCCUCGGCUCUCCGGAGAGCAUUAGGCCAAGCAGCUGGGGCCUCUGAACGCCUCUUGAAAAGGCAGCCCACUCCAUCCUGGAGGGUGAGGAGGGGAGCAGAGGGGGGAUCAGACCACCUGGCUCCUGAAACACAGGAAAAUCCACCAACCAAUAACUCCACACAGAGGAGGAGGUGGAGGACUCACCCUCUGACCACCACGUCUGGACUCAUGUUCUUUCUUUCUGUCUUGGACAUAAAAGAAAAGGCUUCUAUUCUUCUAUGAUAUUACACAUUUAAAGAUUUAAUUAAUACAAAGCCAGCAUGUGUCGGUGUGUCUCAAUACUUUUGGAUUUCUCUGCUCUGUCCGUGACUCUCGGUUUCCAGACCGCUGGUUCCCACUGCCGAGUCUUAUUUCGUUUUUAAAAAGCUCUUUCUUAAAGGGGCUUCACAGCAGCUUGGUGGUUAGCACUGUCGCCUUGCAGCUAGAAGAUCCCGGUCUGCGUCCCAGCCUGGACCUGGAAUCUUUCUGCUUGGAGUCUGCACUUUCUCCCUGUGCAUGCGUGGGUUUUCUCCGGGUUUUCCAGCUUCCUGCCACAGUCCAAAAACAUGCUGAGGUUAAUUGGUAACUCUGAAUUGUCCGUAGAUGUGAACGCAAAUGUGAUUGUUUGUCUCUCUGUGUAGCUCUGUGAUGGACUGGUGGCCUGUCCAGGGUGUCUCUUGCCUUCACCAAGUCAGCUGGGAUAGACUCCAGCCCCCUGCAAACCCAGUGAGGAUUAAGCAGUGUAUAGAUAAUGGAUGGAUCUUUCUAAAAGAAAAAUAAAACAAUCAUGUGGG
ensembl:lncRNA